GAUAGUAUAGGGGUCACUGACUUUGGAAGUCAGAAGUAUUUGGGUUCAAAUCCUGGCACUAUCA
rfam:Nomascus leucogenys chromosome 19, whole genome shotgun sequence.